rnacentral:rRNA from 1 species
GCCGAUGGCCAUACCACUCUGGCCACGCCUGAUCUUGUCCUGAUCUCAGACGCUAAGUCGGGCUGGGUCUGGUUAGCACGUGGAUGGGAGGAGAAAAGCGGGAGUUGCCAUGGCG